rnacentral:lncRNA from 1 species
CCCCCGUAAAUCAGUGACAGUUGGCAGGUAUGUUGUAUAUGUAAACAUUUUUAAAGCAAUAAUGAAUAUUUACUUAUUUGUAUUUGUUUUUAUUUCAGCAUUGAUUCCAAUCUUUGGCAAUGGCUAAUACAAGAUGAGGCCAGGCAUAUACAUGUACAUGUAUAUGUACAAUACAUUCACCCUUAUAGUUUCCACAACAACAAUGAAACUCUAAACUACUACAUGUAUGAUAUUAUGAAGAUAUUUACAUAUAUCUACAUGUACAUCUACAUAUAUGAUCAAUUUUGAAGAUUGUUUAUGUCUGGUCUAAUCAUGUAAUCAUCGACUAGUACAACAAGUUUUGAUUCAACUUUCUGACAGGAAUUAUUUAUAAACUUGUCAGCAGUUUCGACAAAUGAAUAUUAUUAAUUGAGUUAAAAAUUAAGCUCAUUCGGACAGUGAAGUGAUUUUGACGCGUAUUGAAGUAGACAUUAAACAUGUUAAACGUUAAGAAUUGAUAUUGAAUUAU